ensembl:snoRNA U3 Small nucleolar RNA U3
AAGGCUAUACUUUCAGGGAUCAUUUCUAUAGUUCACUGCUAGAGAAGUUUCUCUAAGUGCCAAGGAUGUAACGUACAGCAUGAUUGCUGU